GAUGAACGCUGGCGGCGUGCCUAAUACAUGCAAGUCGAGCGAACGGACGAGAAUCUUGCUUCUCUGAUGUUAGCGGCUGACGGGUGAGUAACACGUGGAUAACCUCACUAUAAGACUGGGAUAACUUCGGGAAACCGGAGCUAAUACCGGAUAAUAUUUUGAACCGCAUGGUUCAAAAGUGAAAGACGGUCUUGCUGUCACUUAUAGAUGGAUCCGCGCUGCAUUAGCUAGUUGGUAAGGUAACGGCUUACCAAGGCAACGAUGCAUAGCCGACCUGAGAGGGGGAUCGGCCACACUGGAACUGGGACACGGUCCAGGCUCCUACGGGAGGCAGCAGUAGGGAAUCUUCCGCAAUGGGCGAAAUCCUGACGGAGCAACGCCGAGUGAGUGAUGAAGGUCUUCGGAUCGUAAAACUCUGUUAUUAGGGAAGAACAUAUGUGUAAGUAACUGUGCACAUCUUGACGGUACCUAAUCAGAAAGCCACGGCUAACUACGUG
rnacentral:rRNA from 1 species